AACGAACGCUGGCGGCAGGCUUAACACAUGCAAGUCGAGCGCCCCGCAAGGGGAGCGGAAGACGGGUGAGUAACGCGUGGGGAUCUACCCAUCUCUACGGAAUAACGCAUGGAAACGUGUGCUAAUACCGUAUACGUCCUUCGGGAGAAAGAUUUAUCGGAGAUGGAUGAGCCCGCGUUGGAUUAGCUAGUUGGUGGGGUAAAGGCCUACCAAGGCGACGAUCCAUAGCUGGUCUGAGAGGAUGAUCAGCCACACUGGGACUGAGACACGGCCCAGACUCCUACGGGAGGCAGCAGUGGGGAAUAUUGGACAAUGGGCGCAAGCCUGAUCCAGCCAUGCCGCGUGAGUGAUGAAGGCCCUAGGGUUGUAAAGCUCUUUCACCGGUGAAGAUAAUGACGGUAACCGGAGAAGGAGCCCCGGCUAACUUCGUGCCAGCCGCCGCCGUAAUAC
rnacentral:rRNA from 1 species